CUUCCCUAUACAAAAAUAGUCUCUCCUCCUUUCACUAUAAAUACACCGAUCCGCAAUUUCCCCCUCUUUCCGCGAAGAAUUUUACGCCUUUCUAUCAGAUUCAAUUCCAACAAUUCUCUGAUUCAUCGCGGAAAUUAACUCAAUUUCAAUCUCAAUCAAUCAUGAAGAAAUCGUGCGCCAUCGCCGCCUACGUUGCCGCUUCCGCCUCCGCGAUCUCGUCAGCGUCGUCUCCCAAAGUUUACUUUCCUCGCGAGAAUGAGCGGCCGAAGAAAAACAGCGAGAAGUCGGCACCGCAGGGAUCGUCUUCUUCUGAAAAAUUCGCGCCGAGGUUUGAUGGAUUGAGAUUCAUAGAGACGCUGGUGACAGCUCAUAGAUAAGAUCAACUGCCUGUUUUUAUUUUUUAUUUUUCUUUUAUUUUCCCCCUAUUUUUGGUCCCAGCAAUUAUUUGAAAAAACGUACUGUAAUUAAAAUGUUUGGAGUUUGAUUAUUGAGGGACCAGAUGAUUUUUAGGCUUCGUUAGGCUGAUUUUAUUGUUGUAUUUGUACACUUGCUAGAGAAGCACUCUGUAUUGAUAUAAGAAUGUAUUUUUAGUUUGAAAAUGAGAGCAUUUAGUUACUUGCUUCUCUAA